rnacentral:lncRNA from 1 species
GUGAGAUAAAGAGCUGGUGGGUUGAGUCCCAACCGGUUCCACUCAGCUUGCUCCCUCCCUUUCGCCCCUCCCCUCACUCCCUCGGCAGGGCUCCCUCCAUGGGGCUGGAAGUGGCUCUUGCUGCCAGUGCUCCCCUCUGGGGCCCCUUCCCAACCUGCUCUGGCUGAAGCAAGCAAGAAGAGAGAGGGAAGCAGCAGUCAGCCCCAGGAAUCCGGAGGGCUCAGCCUACACGCUCUGCAACCUCCCGGCCUCCCUCCUCUUCC